UUAGAAGGUGGAUCCCUUUGGCUUUCAGCUCGGACUUUGGGCCUUGCCUGAGUUUCAUGCCUGUCCCUCCUCUGUCCUUGCCAGACACUGACUGGACGCUGCUAUGCUUCCAGAGGAAGAUCCACCUUGUCAAAGGCACAACACAUCAGAGCCGUCCCCACUGCUGUGGUUGUCCCCACUGCAGUUGGGGAGUGCAGAUCUCCAAGAUCGUCCUCCAGCUGCAUAAGGUGCUCCCUGUCUGCAUCCAUGGACUCCCUGGAGUCAGCUGAUAGACCCAACAUGUCAGUUACGGAUUUUGAUAGAAAUAUAUGGAAGGAAAACUAUAAGAAAUCUGAGUGGGGUGCAAAGAUGUUGCUUCAAAAUUUGAAAAGGCCUUUUUAAAAGUGCCUCAGAGAAGAGUAUUAAGAGUGAAAGCAUUACUAAAAACCCACACCUGGAGAUACAAGUUUAUAUUAUGAAACCAAAACAUGGCCAGUUCGUUUUCAGUGCACAAAGAACUGAAGAUAUGAUGGCAGCAGCUCAUCCACUGAGUUUCAUGUCAGUGUUCACAAUAGAAAAAGUAAACAAAAUGUGAACAGAGACAAGAACAGAAAAAAAAUGGAAAUACUUUUUAUGUUGUCGCUUUAGGUUAUACAUACCUAUAAUUAACAAAGAAAUACCACCAAAAGAGAUGUGGAAAAAUCUGUUGAACAAAUGAGAAUAACCAUCUAUUGCACAGAAGAAGCUUUUACAAAACAGUGUAAAAGAAGGAAACAAAGAAUGUUAUUUUAAGUAGUUUUUUUGUCUAAGUGUAACCUCAAAAGGUAUAAAAACAGGUUUCUAUCAUGUUUAUGAGAAGAUCUACUAAAAACACUUGCUUGAAAAAGGGGAAAUAUCUCAAAGGGAGUGAAAAGGUGACACACAUUGUUCUCAUGGAGUGAGACAGAGAAUGGGACUUAUGCCUAGCAUAAGGACUGCACAUGGCAAAGAGAUUCCACUGCAUCAGAUUAUGAAGUUUCCUCCUUUGGCUGGGAAGGCUGAGUGAGCUUUUCUUUUUUUAGAGAAAAUAUUUUUCUCUAUAUUAAUAUUCUUAGAGCUAAGUAAUGCUUUUAAUUUUGUAUAUUUCUACUUUUAAAAGGUUUAAAUACUUUUUAAUGCCUGUUACUGAAUGUUAUAAGGCUUUUUUGAUUUUUAUGAUUUUUUACUAUUAUUUUCCUAAGAACUUUGAAGUGCUAUAGAGAUGUCUUUUCUACCUUGAUAGGUUAUGAGCUCCUGUGUUUUAAUGUUUUU
ensembl:lncRNA